rnacentral:rRNA from 1 species
AUGGGAGCGGCAAAGCUCACGGGCGGCCUGUGCGGCGCGCGCGCGCCUGGUCCCCGGCCACGCUCGCUCUGCCAUAAGGAUCCCACCCCGCGCACACUGGCAUGGCAUACUGCAGCGCUCUGCAUCCCGAUCCAGACACAGACACACAGACACAGAGCUUUUGGCUGCUCCUGCUCGGCUGCUCCCAUGGGGCUCUGCCUGUCCGUGGCCCUGUGGAAGGACAAGGCCUACGCCCGCCGCCGGGCCGUGCGGCGAGGCCAGCAGGAGGCCGUCGACGUCGAUGUGAUGGUGCGUGGCGGCGGCGGCAGCAGCUCUGUCUACGGGCUUCUGGCAGGUGGAGUGCCGGAGGCGGAGGAACCCGUGGCCGUGGCGGCGCCGAGGGCUUCGGGCGCGCUGGGCACGCCGGGGCGGCCGAUAUGGCAGAGGAGGGUGCUGAUGGGCGUCAAGUGCCGGCUGCCGAAGUUCAGCGGCAUGAUCCUGUACGACGAGCGCGGCCGGCCGGUGGGCGGCGGCGUCCGGGACAGAGCUCGUGACCAGGAGAAGCACGCCGCUGCCAUUGAUAACAUCCUGAGGGACCUGCACUGGUCCAGCCGGUCGCCGGCGGGCAGCUUAAUUCCAGCGUCGGCCCGGUCCAGUUGA